UUUUAAUUUUUUUUAAUGUAUAAGAAAAACAAAUCUAAAAAAACUAAAAACUAAAUAAAAUUAUCUGAAAAUGGAAUUAUGCAAAUUUAUAAAACUUGAGGUAUGAAAUAUAUAAAAUUUGAAAACUAACUUAUCAAAAGAAUUGAACUUCUAAAUAAAUAUGAAGGGUCAAAAUGUCAAUUUAAAAAUGAAUUACAUAAAAAAAACUCAAAUGUAAUGGAAAAGAAUCGAAGUUGAGUGCAUAGGAAGGAGAUACAAUUUCUUACCAAUUGAACUACAAAUGUCUUUUAAAUAAGCUAUAUCCAAAUAAUCUUUUAUUUGUGCAAGAAAAAAAAGACAUGAAAAUUUGAGGGUGGGCCUUGGCCAACUCUGGCCCUAAGGUGGCUCCGCCAAUGAACGCAACAGCUAUCAACACAGGUAAGAGUUCAUCUUUCUUUCCUUUUUUUUUUUUUUUGGUUCGUUUUUGAUAGAUAUCGACGGAAGAAACCUAAUGGAUGUUUGGGUUUGAUUGUGACAGGAGGAGAUGGGAAGGAUUCAAUGGUUUUUCUGCUGUGAAUUUGACAGGAAGGAAGAAUCCAUUUGUUCUUGGCUGGGAAUGAAGAUGCAAGCAAUACAAAGGAUCGACCAAUUUUUACUACAAAGGGUUUAAUUGUUGUUUGAUUGUUUGUGAAUUAAUAGUUGAUGAGUAAAAGCAAUACCACACAGUGUUUUCCACAUACCUGUGUGUGAGCUGUAGUCAGGUGAAAGAAAGACGUGGGGAGAAAAGAAAAUAGUCAAGUGCAAGAAUUCAUUUCCUUUUUUAGUGUUUCUUUGUAUAAAAUGAAACUUGGAAGAAAUCAUUAUCUUGGCUGUCAAAUUUAGUGUAUUUUUGGUUAAUCUUGUAAACAUUCUAU
rnacentral:lncRNA from 1 species